AAAAACAAAAAACGAGUGGUUAUUUGAAUUUCGUUUUGAAAUACAAAACUUAAAAUUGAAAUACAAGGCGUUUUUCCUUUUCAUGAUCAAAAAGGGAUAUACGAUUUUUUUGGAAAUGCUUUCAUUUUCGUUUUAUAUUUAGAAUGACAAGAAAGUAAAAUCAAUAAGAGACAGAAACGAAAAAAGGUCUUUUUUAAUUUUCUGAGACCGGAAGUGGUCAUCAGCAAGUGUGGAGCCAAACAGAGUACAGUGCAUAGACUGUACAUACAUUUUUUUUCGUUAGUUUUCAUGGUCAAAAUGAGAGAUUAGGUGGCCGAUCUCAAAAAUAAAUCAAUAUUGAUUUUUUUAUAGAGCGUUAAAGUUUUGCGAAACCAGGGGGCGGGACUACUUGAUUGACAGUCCGGUCUGUAAUGAUUGACAGGUCCUAUGGAGGAGGCAGCAGAGACUCUGCUCUCCUCGUUUGGAUUAAUUGUGAUAUAAUAACUGUUGGUUUAUUUAUCGGUGGAGCAGCAGAACAUUUUCCACAGACAGUUUUCCUGCCCGUUGGCUUGUUUUAACCAGUUUUCUGCCUUCGGCUGAUUGUACCAGCAGACACUGAAAGGACUCUAAUAGUUCGAGUGAAAGCAGCAAUUCCUCCUUAAGGUCAGAGAUUGCAGCAUCUGAGGGCCUCUUCAAAAGAAGACGUAGUUGAUGAAGGCGUUCUGGAGCAGGACCAGAAAGACCACGACCAAGCAGCCUUGAGAUCUUAGGCAGCGUCUCCCUCGGGUCCCUCUCUAUCUCCCCACACAUCCACCAACCACUGGAACACAUCUCCAAAGUUCUGCCGGGCCGGCUCAGCUUCCCCUCAGAAGAAGUUCCGCCACCUGCCAGAUGAAGGAGCCUUUUGAGAGGCAGCUGGCAUCGUGAUUGGACUGCACUUUGGUCUGUUCCAAUCCAGCUUCACCUCCAGAGACGGCAGGCGGGACGAGUCAACGGAGGCCGGGUGGACGAAGACAUGCAGCUGAGUACAAUCCAGAAAACAACAGAGAAGGAGUGCAGUGGCCCAGAGCCAGAACAGAGUAGCAUCGUAUGUCUCUUAGAAAACAUCAUAGUACAGCCUUUGCUAUGAAAAAACGCCAUCAUAUACAUCGUAUAUUGUACAAAUAACAAGUCAAAGGAAAGAGACAUACAUUGUAGAAUUGUAGUAAUUGUGGACUGACUGAUUUACUAAUUAUCAGUAUUUUAUUUUUUACUGAUUUACGGUAAUAAAUACAUUUAAAACUGGC